rnacentral:rRNA from 1 species
CGGACGGGUGAGUAAUGUCUGGGAAACUGCCUGAUGGAGGGGGGUAACUACUGGAAACGGUAGUUAAUACCGCAUAACGUCGCAAGACCAAAGAGGGGGACCUUCGGGCCUCUUGCCAUCGGAUGUGCCCAGAUGGGAUUAGCUAGUAGGUGGGGUAACGGCUCACCUAGGCGACGAUCCCUAGCUGGUCUGAGAGGAUGACCAGCCACACUGGAACUGAGACACGGUCCAG